rnacentral:rRNA from 1 species
UACGGAGGGUGCAAGCGUUAUCCGGAUUCAUUGGGUUUAAAGGGUGCGUAGGCGGGCUAUUAAGUCAGUGGUGAAAUCCUGCAGCUUAACUGCAGAACUGCCGUUGAUACUGAUAGUCUUGAGUUUGGUUAAGGUAGGCGGAAUGUGUAAUGUAGCGGUGAAAUGCUUAGAUAUUACACAGAACACCAAUUGCGUAGGCAGCUUACUGAGCCGACACUGACGCUGAGGCACGAAAGCGUGGGGAUCAAACAGGAUUA